UCAGUAUCAUUGAUGUUAUAUUUAAUACUUUUUUAAAACUGAAACGAAACAAUAGUAAAUUGAAAAAAGUUCUUUGCCGUACGAAGAGAUUAAUAAUAAGUAACCAUAAAAAUAUUAUUGAACGAUUAACAAGCGUAGUAGUAAUAUAUUCGAUCACGUCGAAACUUUUAUUCGUCUACUUGACUGUUAUGUGACCUUAAUAGAUUUACAUUGUUAUGAACAUCUUGUUAUAUUUUUUGCCAUUAUCUUGUUGUAUACAUAAUUCUUCCGUUUAUAAUAAUUCAAUUGUGAAUAUUUUUCGAGAUAACCUUAAAAAUUUGAUUAUUUAUAAAUUAAUUGUAUUUAAAAUAUUCCAACGACUAUGCACAUGAUGUGAUAUAUUUUGAAGAAAAAAAAUAAUUCCAAACGACGAGGAGUUGUUAAAUUAAAAUUGGCCUUAUGCGCGGAACAUAAUACGCAAGUUGCUAUUCAGGAACUCAGACAUUUAUUUCGAGGUUUGUUGCUAUAUAAAGUUGAGAUUAAGAAAAAUCGAAUAAUAUUGUUGAUCUGAUCCUGCAGAAGCUUUAAUCUUCCAACAUAAUGCAUAACGUAGCCUCUUAACUAAAAACAUUGCCCUAGAACAAUGGAUUGAAUAUGUUAGGAUCCAUCAAAAACAUCUACUUAAUUUUAUGGUUUGUAAUAAAUUUAUAGUCACUUUGUUAAGAUCUAUAAAUAAUGGAUUAUUUUUUAACAAAACUACUUUGGGAUGCGACAAGAAAAUUACUAUAUUCUUACUUAAGUACAGUAUAAGGAAAAUAGGAAGAUUAAUUUUAAGAGAAAAGAAUACCAUAACAUAGCUAUCUAUUCAGGAGACAAACAGUACGAAAUUGGAUGUUAUUCGAGAUUUAGAGAAAACAAUUAUACAUGGUGGUGCCAAAUGGUAGGUAUAUAGCUUCUGUGUGUAUAUACUUAUUUUAAUAUAACUUAUAUUAAUUAUUGGUGAUUAUAUAUUGUUAUAUUGAAAGAUUUGAGCACAUAGCAAGUAAUACCGGAGACUAAAUCGGACAAACAUGUAUGCAUUCAGAUAUCAAAUUAAAAUAAUCCAGUUAAUGGGAACAGAUUUCAGAGAAGAUUAUUUAUUUGGAGAAGAUAGAUUAUUACAAGCUGUUCGUCAAGAAAAUUAAUUUCCUUUGAACAAACACAUUGUAUAUUAUGUAUGAAAAGAAAAGAAAAGAAGAACAAGUGAAAUGUGCAUGGAAGCUCUGAAAUAUAUCUGUGAGAGAUUAAAAUAUAUAGAAGUCGAUAAUAAUAAUGAUUCUGAGUUAAUGCUUGGUACAACUUUAUUAGAAUUCUUUCUCAGGUUUCAACGAUAUGCUAUCCUGGGCCAAAUAGUUUAUGCCAAAGGACAAUUGGAAUCUAUGAAAAUACGAAUAGUUUAGAAUUGGUGUAGCAUAUUGGUUGGAUAUUGCAGUAUACAAGGCUUUAAAACAAAUCGACGGAGCUGUUGAAUUUGAUACAUUACAAGCUAUUGAUAAUAUUAUGCGAUAUAUAUGCAGUUGUCACAUUAAUGAUUUUUUAUCCAAUUGGACAUAACUGGCAUGUUGAAGAAUCUUAUACAUUAGUCACCAAAAUUUUAGACAUACAUUAUUAAUAUCUUCCAAUUUUUUUUCUAUCAUUUUUUAUAUUCAUGAUCGUAUUAAUAUGAGUGAGAAAAUGAUGUUAUAGGACAUUUGUAAGUGUUUCAUUAUAUAUGCAGAUAAACUAGCUACGAAAGCAAAGACUACAACAAAUUUAGGACAGUUUAUUGAAAAUAGCGUGUAUCUAAUGCUCGACGCUGUGCUAUUAAUAAUAUUGAUUAUAUUAGAACAUUGAUUGAUCCAUUGAUGCAAGUAACUUAGACUUACAAUCGUUGAUGGUUUAGGAAAAAACAAGAAAGGAAAAGAAAAUAGGCCGUUCGUUGCAAACAGAUUCUUUAGCUGAUCGUUGCUAAUGUGACAGAAACUGUGAAAAAUAAAAUUUAUGAAUUGUUAGAAGUUGUUGCGCACAAAAUGGAACUUAGUAUGAGGCUAUAUUCAUGGAACGAGCAGAUUUGUUUCAUGAUAAAUGUAUGCAAGAUAAUAAUGUAAUUGACACAUACUUGAUCAUCGAAGGAAGGAUCAUUAGGUAGAAUCAUCGGGUGAAACUCUUGGGGAAGCCCUCGGCUAUGGUCCCUUGGGAGGGAUCUUGGGUUAGAUCAUCAAAGGAAGGACCAUUGAGUGGGACCUUUGGGAGAGGGUAGUAGUAGUAGCAACAACAGUCGUAAACCUCUUUGAGUUAAUUCGGAUAUUGUGAUUACGUGUAAAUAUUCUAUUCAAUCUCUAAGUUGCAAAAUUUACAAUUUAUCAAAGUUAAAAUGACAAGGAUUAUCAAUUAUAUGGACUUGAAUUUACGCCAGAAUGAUAAUGAACUGUACAGCAGCCGGAGAAAUAUGUGUAUCUCGUUGUUUAUUGCAGAAUGGACAAAUCAUUCUCAUCA